UGCAGUUUUCUGUGUGUGUCACUCAAGUGCUCUAUCUAACACCUGGCAGAAUAGAAUCAAGCAAAGACCGGCGCCCGUUGUACCGUUCAAGCUGGAAUGGUACCUUGGAAAAUGGUUCACACAAUCUAGACAAGAACCCUGCAGUUGGAAGGGGUCUUCUGACUUUGAAAACAUGGAGCUUAACUUUGUACUGGACCCUAAGAAAAAUCUUCUUUACGAUCACUCCAUAUGGAA